UGUUUUUUGCUUUUUUGCUCAUGUGUUCAACAUCCAGGAGAAAUGAGGACCCAAAACUUAUCCACUGGUUACGUGUGGUGUGUGUGGCUGUCAUCUCCUCGGGACUGGCUACUGAAGGCCACAGGAGCGGGAGGACCAAAGGCUCCCUGGAUGUUGUGUCCUGGCCUGUGAGCUGCACACAGUCCCGCUUGCAGCAAAGAUGUGGUGGGCAGCUGGGCUGUGAGGGAAGGCCAGGCUGUGACAGGAACCUCAGAUCUCACCGGGGAAUGAGAGUGGUAUCCCCCUGCAGCGGGAGUCCGUGCUGGCCUGAGAGGCUCCAGGCUGUGCCACCCCGGGCAGACCCCAAACUUCAGGGAGCUGCCAGGAUCAAUGGCUACAAGGGUCCCCGCCGAGUUUGGAGAAACAAGGAAAUCUCCCUUGUCUAUGAAGGUUUGGGGAGACCUGGCAUCUCAAAUCCAACAGCCCUGGUCCUCUUCCCUGGCUGCGCGGUUGCGGGUGAUGGUGGCGGUCUUGCUCUUCCUCCAGUUAGUAUGGUCUUGGGCGCAACGACAUGCAAUAAAAGAAAACAGUCUCAGCUCUGGAGUCAGCUGUAUGUUCGAAUCCUAACACCCUGACACUGUCCUUUCCCAUCUGUGUGACCCUGAGCAAGUUACUCCACGUCUCUGAACCUCAUUCUCCUCAGGCCUGCAGUCGGAAUAAGAGGAUCCGCGAUGAGAGCUCAUGGCACACCCAGUGGGCGCUGAACAAGCGUGGGAAUGAGAAGGAUUUGGUGCCAGCUGAGCCACCUGAAUGAGGCGCGUCCCGAGGCAGGAAAAAUCCGGUGCCGCGGAGGUCGCCUGGACUCUUCCGGAGCCAAGGGCGAGGUCGACGGCCCUCAGAGUCGUCCCCCGCCCCCAAUGCCUGGCCAGGAAGGAAGCCCGGGCGGCGGAGGGGCCCAGUGGCCGGGCCCGGCGCGGAGGCGGAGGCGGAGGCGGAGGCGGAGGCGGAGGCCGGGAGUCCGGCGCGCAGCCGGAGCUGCUCAUCCAUCAGCCGGACGAAGAGCAGAGUCGCGCUCUCGGCCCUCUGUUUGCUUUCUCGCCAAUUAUUGCAGCGCCGCAGCCCCUUUGUUGAUACAGUAGUCCGAAAAAGUGCUAAUGUUCAUUUAUCAGGGGGCCAGCCGGGGACUCCCACGAGUUGCGAUUCUUCCCAAAAUAUAAACAUGGGGCGAGCGUCCCAGACAGAAACCCCAUCUGUUUCCCCGCGCGGGCGGAGAGCUAGGCGUUGUUGAAGAUAAAGCCGCGGAUAACGCCGCCUGUCUCCAAUGGACGUCUCCCCGGCGCAUUAAUGACAUUCCCGGUGAUAGUUCCAGCUUAUCUUUCAAUUAAUCAUAUAUACCUUUUGCGGCCAGCCCUGCUGAUUGCACGAAAGGGGGGCCGGCUCCGGCUGCGCCGAUCGCUUUUCAAUUAAUAAUAAUUUAUUCACGGAGAAUGCGCUCGAGCCGCCCUGGAAUUUGGAUUAUCUUAAAGCACCAACUCUUUAAAAGUCAAGGAAAUACACGGAUAGAUUUUUGAUCUCUCCUCUCUCCUUUUGUCUCUCUCUGCCUUUCUCUAGGCUGAAGGCUGUUUGUCCUGCUAGUUUGGUCAAAGUGUGGCGUAGAGAGGCGGCCAGGUUGGGUCAGAGGCCCUUGGGAAAAAAGAUGUGUCCCUGUUGGGGGCCAGAGAAUCAAGUUUCCUUCCACCCAACCCCCAACCACUGCAACUUCUAUUUAGAUCUAUUUAGAGGGAUUUUUUUUUUUCUCGGAAACAGUGAGGACUGACAAGAAAAGUUGCAAAUCGCUCUCGGACUUUUCUCUAAGGAGACCAGCAUGGGUCGCCCCAAUUUCUAUUUUGCACGCAUUUGUGCAUUUUUGCCCCAUCUCCUCUCUCCUGCAACACCAAGACCUUUCUGGAAGCCAAGAGAAAUCAUUACCUGAUUCACACAGGGCAUAGAGAGUGUAAAAGUCACAGAUUUUGUUCAAAUAGGGAGGGUUUUUUUCCUUCCCUUUUU
ensembl:lincRNA